rnacentral:ncRNA from 19 species
AAGCGCCUUCAGGGCGGGGUGGAAGUCCCCACCGGCGGUAAGUUUCUUUGAAAUAAGCCCGCGAGUCUCUAUUUUAAGAGACAGAUCUGGUUAAAUUCCAGAGCCGACGGUCAGAGUCCGGAUGAGAGAAGGUAUGC